rnacentral:lncRNA from 1 species
GGGAGGAGAGGAAAUGGAGAAAGCAAAUAUACGCAAUACUUUUAAGAAGUUUUGUUUUUAAGCUUGGAAUAACACGUACACAACUAUAUAUGGUGGUCAUCUUUGAAGGACUGCAGUUAUGAAAAAACCAUCAGUUCAACUGUCCUGGACAGCAUUUCAUUUUAUUAUGUAACUGUAGAAAGCCUUGAUCAAGAUAAAAAUAGGGAUGACUUAUCAGAAACUGAAGAAUUUUCUUAGGAAAGCAAAGUUUACUGAAGGAUACCUUCAUUCCAGCCAUGAUGAGCAUCUGUCUUCUCAGGCAAUCAUGAUGAAGCUCCAGGGACAGUAUAACCCAUCUCUCCCACUCAUCCCUGAGCCUUGGUCCUGGACUGAAUGUGGUUAGAGGUUGUGGAAAUUAAAAAAAGAACCAAAAUAAGAACACUCUCCAUAAAAGCCAAGCUCAGAGACUGGUCCUCUUUUGCUUAGGUACAGCAGGAGCAGGAAGGAUCAACAUUCUUGAAAGCAUACCUUCUAUUCAUUUGGCUUUUUUGACUUGGGGCGCCAGUGUCAAGCUGAGCACUCCACUGCCCUUUCUCCACUCACAAAUGUCUGCAUAGGUACACGUCCGGCACUUCCAAGCCUCCUCCACGUCAACUCCCUGGGGCUCUCGGUGGCCCAUCCAGUAGGCCAUAUAAUGCUGCACCUUGGCUCUCACCUCCUUCUCUUUGAAGGCUACAAUCUCAGUACCCAGCACAGUGGCAGUCUCUUGGUGGAUAUACUCAAUCUUCAAGAUAUCAAUAACUGGGAGGUCUGACAGUGUUAGAGACAAGAAGACCAGUUCCAUGAGGUCACCCAAAGACUUCACAGAGAAGCCUCCCUGCUGGGCAUGCCUCAGCACUGAUGGCCCCAGUGGCUUUUCUGGACACAACUUUGUGUGGUGGAUUAGGCUAGCAGGGGUCACUUUUCCUUGUACCAUGGCAUCAAAGAUAUAUUUGUAUAGGCUGACUUGAAAACAGUCUUUCUUCUUCUGAACUUCCAGAGGGAGCAUAGGGCGCCUGCGUGUCUUGAGUUCCGCCAGCUCCAGUUCCCCCUUGGCUGUAUAGUGCAGCUCAUCAAUCACUCCAACAAGAAGUACACCCUCCACUUCCCCAAACACUGGAAACUCUCUGAUGUGCCCUUCUGACUGCAGGGUAGGAAUCAGCAAAAGUAUGUUCAGAAAUUUAAUUGCCCAAGCAUCUUCUUUAGUGGUGACUGGGACAGUCACAAGAUCAUGAAGUUCUAGUUCUCUAGCUAGGUGUAUGCUGGCACCAGUGUCCAACACAGCUGCCUUCUCAGGUGCCAAGAAACCAGGAAGCUCCUUCCCAUAUGCUGUUUGCAGUUCACACCAGUUCUGAGUAGCCAGGUCAGUAACAUAUAAAUAUUUAAGGUGGAAUCUCUCCAUGGGUGAUAAGAUAUCCAAUCCUCUUUUCCAGUUUUGUAAGCUUAUGGGUUUGUCAUCCUUCCCAAGGGAUUCAGAAGAUGGGCCAGGCGUGUUAACUAAAGCCUUUGACUCUUGGGCAUCUUCUAGGUCCAGAAACUCCAGGAACUCUGAGUCACUCAAGUCUGAGAACCCUGAGGCUUCUGCUGACACUGUCUCCUCUUCUCUUGUCUCUGCCAUGGCACAGCUCUGGAUUGGGCUAGAAGGGCCCUGCAUAACAUGUUAAAGAAAUGCAUUGUUCAAAUAAAAACGUUCUCAAAAGCACUUUCAAAUUUCAGUGAGAUAAAAACAAAAUUAUGACAAAUUAUUUAUUUA